UAGUUGAGAAGACGCUGAGCCGCCC
rnacentral:miRNA from 1 species